rnacentral:rRNA from 1 species
GUGGGGAAUAUUGGACAAUGGGCGAAAGCCUGAUCCAGCCAUGCCGCGUGUGUGAAGAAGGUCUUCGGAUUGUAAAGCACUUUAAGUUGGGAGGAAGGGCAGUAAGUUAAUACCUUGCUGUUUUGACGUUACCAACAGAAUAAGCACCGGCUAACUUCGUGCCAGCAGCCGCGGUAAUACGGAGGGUGCGAGCGUUGUCCGGAUUUAUUGGGUUUAAAGGGUGCGUAGGCUGGAAGGUCAGUCAGCGGUGAAAAGCUGUCGCUUAACGAUAGUCUUGCCGCAGAUACUUCCUUUCUUGGAUGAGGAGGAGGCCACUGGAACGGAUGGUGUAGCGGUGAAAUGCAUAGAUAUCAUCCAGAACACCGAUUGCGAAGGCAGGUGGCUGUACCUUAAUCGACGCUGAUGCACGAAAGCAUGGGGAGCAAACAGGAUUAGAUACCCGUGUAGUCC